rnacentral:rRNA from 1 species
GGCCCCGCACAAGCGGUGGAGCAUGUGGUUUAAUUCGAUGCAACGCGAAGAACCUUACCUGGUCUUGACAUACACAGAAUCUUGUAGAGAUACGAGAGUGCCUUCGGGGAAUUGUGAUACAGGUGCUGCAUGGCUGUCGUCAGCUCGUGUCGUGAGAUGUUGGGUUAAGUCCCCGCAACGAGUGCAACCCUUGUCCUUAGUUACCAGCGGGUUAAGCCGGGAACUCUAAGGAUACUGCCAGUGACAAACUGGAGGAAGGCGGGGACGACGUCAAGUCAUCAUGGCCCUUACGACCAGGGCUACACACGUGCUACAAUGGUAGGUACAGAGGGCAGCUACACAGCGAUGUGAUGC